rnacentral:rRNA from 1 species
AGAACGAACGCUGGCGGCAUGCCUAAUACAUGCAAGUCGAACGAAGGCUUCGGCCUUAGUGGCGCACGGGUGCGUAACGCGUGGGAAUCUGCCCCUUGGUUCGGAAUAACAGUUGGAAACGACUGCUAAUACCGGAUGAUGACGAAAGUCCAAAGAUUUAUCGCCAAGGGAUGAGCCCGCGUAGGAUUAGCUAGUUGGUGAGGUAAAGGCUCACCAAGGCGACGAUCCUUAGCUGGUCUGAGAGGAUGAUCAGCCACACUGGGACUGAGACACGGCCCAGACUCCUACGGGGAGCAGCAGUAGGGAAUAUUGGACAA